UCCACCAAUGGUUGGGUGAGCUAAUAAUGGGUGGGGGAAUAAUGUCCCUACACUGAUACCCUGAACUACACCUCAGCCCAGAGACGCCCCCUGAUGGUGGGGACUCCCUGUCCUCGAGCCUAAACUACCACCUCCUAUCAUUCCCUCAAAAAAGAAAUGGCAGAAAUGAAGAUUUAAAGUAUUUU